CCUGUUGUGACAGUAAAGAAGCUCUCAGCCCACAUCUGUUGGCUCAGCUGUUGGGCAGGACAAGUUAAAAAAAAAAAAAAGUUAUAAGCUAUUUCACAUUUUGAAAAAAGGAUACAUUAUAUUGUUCGGGAAGGGGGUUCUCUACGGAAGAGGAUUAGGGCCACUGAAAAAAAAAAAAAAGCCCAUGAAAAAUUCUGACUUCUGGAUCUCAGAAUUCUGACUUUACAGUCAAGGUUCUGACUUUAAAGUCAGAAUUCUGAGAAAAAAUUCAGAAUUCUGAGAAAACAGUCAGAACUACGGAGGCCCGUGAGCAACAUUCUGCAGCUAGCUCUAGCAGCACACCGGAGUCCUGCAAACCGGAGAGAAACGAACAAAAUUGUACUCUUUACGUUUCUUUUUCCGUGCUUUAAGAUAACCAGAUGAGGCUACUGUGUUCAUAAAGGAGCAAAAGAUUCACUGUGAUGUCGUCUCUUUUGAAGAUGAUGCGGAUGAUCUCUGGGACAGAGACAGACAACCACACAGACCCACAUUUACACCAAGGGACAAUUAGAUUAAUCUACAAGUUUUUGGACUGAUGGAGGAAGCCGGAGAAAACCGAUGCAUCCAUGGAGAAGAACAUGCAAACUCCACACAGAAGUGACCCAUCUGGGAAUUGAACCAAAGCCCUGUUGCUAUGAGGCAAGUGUGUAUGUUGUGAGGUGAAACAUUUUUCUCUUUUUGUGGUUGUAUUUGCAUGUUUUUUGUUUGGGUUUUGUGUUGUAUGUUUCACCUCUGAGACUGAAUCCCAGAUUGGACACACCUGGUGCUCAAUCACUGAAGUGACAGCCCUGCCUAUAAAGCUGGAACCGGCAGUGAGGAGUGAGAAGAAGAGAAGGGGCAGCUGAGAGCGACUGGAGGAGGCGACGGCACCCAGUGGUUCGCUGUGGCUGGAGGGGUUGCAGCAGAGACAGAGUCCUCUCUGAGACAAGGGACUGUGACGUACACUCACCGGCAGGGUGAGGAGCCCUGCCAGUGUGUGAGUACCCUUGUCCUGUACAGUGGCCCCCUCACUCUGCAACGAGCCAGUCUUAUCUGCUCCUCAAAACCUUGGAUUCUGGCAAGACCUUUAUGUUGCAGGUGGACGUUUGGAGGAGCUGCCUGCCACGCUUCUGGGGACUGGAUGACAAACGUGAAGGGAGGAUAAAGACUGGACUGUGGCGGCCUGCAAGAUCUGUCUUCUUUGCCUUUUUAUGGACACUUCUCUUAGUUAUCUUGAACAAGAUUUUAUUGGGUUCCCCCCUGACAGUUUUUAGCCUUUUAUCUUUUACUAUUUUACUUUUAAGAUUUUUAUUUGUUCUGAUUGUAACUAGCUUGCUGUGAUUUGCAUGUUUAAUUAAAACACAAGUAGAAAACAA